UAAUACGUAGGGGGCGAGCGUUGUCCGGAUUCAUUGGGCGUAAAGAGCUCGUAGGCGGCUUGGUUAGUUGGGUGUGAAACCUCCAGGCUUAACCUGGAGACGCCACUCAAUACUGCCAUGGCUAGAGUCCGGUAGGGGACCACGGAAUUCCUGGUGUAGCGGUGAAAUGCGCAGAUAUCAGGAGGAACACCGGUGGCGAAGGCGGUGGUCUGGGCCGGCACUGACGCUGAGGAGCGAAAGCGUGGGGAGCGAACAGGAUUAGAUACCCUGGUAGUCCACGCCGUAAACGUUGGGCACUAGGUGUGGGGGAUUAUCAACGUCCUCCGUGCCGUAGCUAACGCAUUAAGUGCCCCGCCUGGGGAGUACGGCCGCAAGGCUA
rnacentral:rRNA from 1 species